UACGUAGGUCCCGAGCGUUGUCCGGAUUUAUUGGGCGUAAAGCGAGCGCAGGUGGUUUAAUAAGUCUGAUGUAAAAGGCAGUGGCUCAACCAUUGUGUGCAUUGGAAACUGUUAGACUUGAGUGCAGUAGAGGAGAGUGGAAUUCCAGGUGUAGCGGUGAAAUGCGUAGAUAUAUGGAGGAACACCGGUGGCGAAAGCGGCUCUCUGGACUGUAACUGACGCUGAGGCUCGAAAGCGUGGGUAGCAAACAGG
rnacentral:rRNA from 1 species